rnacentral:rRNA from 1 species
UGGGGAAUUUUGCACAAUGGGGGAAACCCUGAUGCAGCGACGCCGCGUGAUUUAGAAGGCCUUCGGGUUGUAAAAAUCUUUUCUAUGGGAAGAAAAUGACAGUACCAUAGGAAUAAGGACCGGCUAAUUACGUGCCAGCAGCCGCGGUAAUACGUAAGGUCCGAGCGUUGUCCGGAAUCAUUGGGCGUAAAGGGUACGUAGGCGGGUAAGCAAGUUAGAAGUGAAAUCCUAUAGCUCAUCUAUAGUAAGCUUUUAAAACUGCUCAUCUUGAGGUAUGGAAGGGAAAGUGGAAUUCCUAGUGUAGCGGUGAAAUGCGCAGAUAUUAGGAGGAAUACCGGUGGCGAAGGCGACUUUCUGGCCAUAACCUGACGCUGAGGUACGAAAGCGUGGGUAGCAAACAGG